rnacentral:rRNA from 1 species
CCUACGGGAGGCAGCAGUGGGGAAUAUUGCGCAAUGGGCGAAAGCCUGACGCAGCGACGCCGCGUGAGGGAUGAAGGUCUUCGGAUCGUAAACCUCUGUCAGCAGGGAAGAACGGUCACUGUGCUAAUCAGCAGUGAAUUGACGGUACCUGCAAAGGAAGCACCGGCUAACUCCGUGCCAGCAGCCGCGGUAAUACGGAGGGUGCGAGCGUUAAUCGGAAUUACUGGGCGUAAAGCGCUCGUAGGCGGUAUGUUAAGUCAAGGGUGAAAUCCCCGGGCUCAACUGGGGAACUGCCUGUGAUACUGGCAAACUGGAGUGUGUGAGAGGGAAGUGGAAUGCCAGGUGUAGGGGUGAAAUGCGUAGAUAUCUGGAAGAACAACAGUGGCGAAGGCGGCGAUCUGGCACAAAACUGACGCUGAGGAGCGAAAGCGUGGGUAGCAAACAGGAUUAGAUACCCCAGUAGUC